CCAAGGUUCGUCACCAGUCUCCAGGUCGAACACCCUGCUUCAGGUUAGGAAAGGGAACUUGGCUCGUUCUUACUUCCUUUUUGGAAGGCCCUCCUAUUCCCAGAAAGCAGAAGCGCAACUCGCUGUCCCACCCAUGCAUGCCCCACAGAUUAGAUCAGCAAUUCGCCUUUCCACACCACGCAACGUUUCUCUUUAGGCGAUGUUUGAAAAUGAGUGGGGCAGUUUUUGGUUGUUCCAAUGAAGUUACUUGUAGUAUUUAGGGACCGAGAGUCCGGGAUCCUGGAGUCUGUUUAUACAACUGGACUUACAGUUUCAUAUAAAACUUUUUUUUUUUUUUUAAUCUUUUUGAGACAGGAUCUCACUGUGCAGUUCAAGCUGGCCUGGAGCUCACUUUGUAGUCCAGGCUGGUCUCGAACUUGCUAGGAUCCUCCUGCCUCAGCCUCCUGGGUACUGGGAUUACAGGCAUGUGCCACCACGCCCAGCAAAACUUUUAUUUUUCAGGAGUUUUUAUUUCUUGAAUAUUUACAGAGUAUUUUCUAUGCCAGGUUAAUUUACAUAAAAAGAGUGAUUUAAAAAUACAAUGACUACUGCUGCCAAGUGCCAUCCAACAGAAAGGCAGGGGUCUUCAAAAGAAGCAGCAGUCCCUUGAACGGUAGUAACCAUGUGUGUGAUAAAUCCCAACUUGUGCAGCGCAGUCAGUCGUUUGUAAGCUCAGGUUUUGAGGGGUGUUUUACAGUGUGCCAUCAACCAUGGAUCCUGAACAACACAUUGCACUGGAGUUGCCAGGAUUGUUUGUGCUACUUCACAUUCUGUCAAAUGAAAACAUUCCCUGGAUCUGGCAUCAUGUAACUUCUGGUUCUUCCCUGAAGCUGAAAGUUUUUUAAUUGAUUCAGGACAAGGAGGCAGCCAGGACACAAAAGAGGACUUCCAGAGCUGCUGCAGAUAGUGGCAAGAAAGGUGGCUUGAGAGCCUCUGGAAAACAAACACACUGAGCCCUCACUGAGGCUAAUCAAGAGAUGGAAGAAGUCUUCAGAACAGUGUCACCCGCUGUUUUAGACGAAGAACAAAGUAAUUGCCAAGUAAAGGAAGGGGGGAGUCCUUUUCUAAAAGCCUCCUCCUCAGAAAUGCCAUAAAUGGCCAAAGAAAGAUCAAACUCUCACACGUGGCGUGGUAACUGGCACUUCUGUCCUGCCCCCACACUCACAGCGGUUCUGCCCUGCCUUUAGAGCACAGAUGUUGGCAGAGCCACACUUGUAACCACACAUUCUCUUAAUGCCACUUCACAGAAGGCAAUGUGACCUGGUGGGACUCUUUUUGCCGCUGACAUGCUAGUCUAAUUUACAUCUUUCCUACAGUGAGGCUUACCAUGUUGCAGCUGUCUAUAAAUAGUCUCUCAGCUACUGAAACAAAACAAAAUUUAAGAUUUAAAAAAACUCACCUUCAUGAUUCGAGUUACUUGUUUGGAUCUAUGAAAAAGAAAAUAGAAAACAUUGUUUUACUUUUAAAAUACUGUAUACUUACAAAUGUCCAAAACUGUUAGCAGUAAAGCUGCCAGCACAAGCCACUGUUCCUAAUCUUGGACACUAGUUUAGAAUUCUCCAUUAGGACCCACCCCUGCCUGCCUCACAGCCAAACCUAGCCCAAGAGCACUGCAGAAGUCCACAGUUCUGUCAUGUCGGGAGAGUGGGGCUGCAGGGCAAGCUCUGUGCCCCCCUGAGGCACUCCAUGCUGCCCAGCGUCCAGCUGGUUGCAGGAAAGCCACCAGACAGCAAUGAGUGCCUGUGCUCAUGUGAACACUGUUGCUGCUCUCUGUUCACUGGAGGGACAUUCCUGGCUCACGGAACAAGCUGGACAGAGACCUCUCGGCAGGUGCUUCUCAUUAUGCUUUCAGAAUAUUCCCUAAAAAUCGCAGAUCCCAGUUUGCAGAAUUUCUGAUACAACUUCAAAGCUAAGGAAAGUUUUAUGUUUGUUUAUUUAGGUUUUAUUUUUUUGGUUUUGAGACAGGGACUCUCAUAUAAUACAGAUGGGCCUCGAGCUUGUGAUCCCCUCCUCAGCCUCCAAGUGCUAGGAUUACAGAUAGGCAUGCACCACCACACCUGGGUAAGAAAAGAAUUUGAAAACUUACCCCAUUUGACUAUCUUGGGUUCACUCAGAGUGAUGUGUGAAACUCUGCAAGAAUAUUCGUCACUGUCAUUGGGUGUAAAGGCAGCAUGCACCAGGAGAUAGAAAGUCCAGUCCUUGCUGAAAGAAAGGUCUGACAUCUCCACAUUGUCUAUCUUCUUCCCAUUCUUCAGCAAUUCGACUUCAAUCUGGGGUGGAUGGAAUCCAGAUACAUAGCAGUUGAUGAAAUUCUGCUUUCCAUUUUCUGCUGGGUGACGGGAAUACACUUGAACCCUUGGGGCAUCUAAGAAACAUAUGGAAAAAACAAUGGAGAAUCGUCAGAGUAUUUUAGUUGGGACUAAUUUGGUCUCCAACCACAUCAGACAAAAACAAUUUGAUCAUCUAUUUCUCUCAAUUUCAUUUCCAUUCGCCAUUUGCAUUCACUUCCAUUCUCAAACUGCCUUCAACUUUACCCAAAUACUACCUCUGUUUUGAGAAAUAAACCAUAAUCUUUUCCACAUCAUUUUCUUAUACAUGUCUUUUGGAUUUUUUUUCCCCUAGGAAAUUUCUGGUAGUAUCUUUGUCUCUGAAGAUUAUAUUGAAGUUUUUUUUUUUUAUUCUGUGCUUUGUUUGUUUGGUCAGUUUUUUGAGAUGAUCUAGUUCAAGCUGGUGUUGAAUUUACCAUGUAAUCCAGGCUGGCCUCAAACUCAUGGGGUUCCCCUGUCUCAGUCUCUCAAGUACUGGGAUUGCAGGCCUAUGUCACUACACCCAGCUGUACUGACGUUUUAAGAACUUUUCAAAAUAAGUAAAUAAAAGAACCUUUAAUGUCUUCUCA